GUGUGUCUGUGUGUGUAUGCUCAUGUGCUUGUGUUUGUGUGUGUGUGUGUAUGUGUUGAAGAGAGUGAAAGUGUGUGUGUAUGUGUGUGUGUGUGUGUUGUUUGAGGGUAGCACACGGGGUCAUCUUCAGGCAGUAACCCCCCAGGAGGCUCCUUCUCAGAGCCCCCCCCUCUAUGCACUGCAACAGCACUCUCAUCCCGACUGCGCCUUGUUCUUAUUCGAGAUCGCCUCAAUAUUAAAGACUUUCACUUUUGAAGUUUUAUUUUUUUGUUUUUGAAUUUUUUGUUGUUGAUUUUUUAAAGCGUUUGUACCCCCUCCACUCUUCUCCACUGCUGGAAGAUGGAACUGUUACCAAGCUCCUGAAUGGAAGUAGGGAAAGAUUGCGCCCUCUGAGCAAUAGACUUCCUCUCCAGGUGUUACAAAAUUACUGACAGUUUUUCUCUUGUAUACACUCCUGUAUUUAUCCUCCUAUCCUCCUCACUACCAUAUCUGCUUUUCUUAUGUACACUUGUAUAUGUGCAUAAUGUCCGGAAGCCCCACCACUCCUUUGCUCCUAUUUUGUCCACCUUUGCUCCAUAUCCUCUCUCUUGAGGGCAAGAGGGAACAGGUCACAUGGUACAGAGUCAGGUGGAUGCUUGGAGGACACCUUGUAAAGUGUUAUUCUUUUUGUUUUUCAUUUUCUUUUCUUUUUUUCAUGUCAGUGUGGCUGCUACUGAUCUUUUUUGAAAUGCUGUGAAGGAAAGGACAAUCCACUUCCAAACAAUAAUAAUAUUAAUAAUAAUAAUAGUCUUGACAGUAUGGACUGGGUUGUCCUUGAUUUCAUGCCAUUGAACAACAUGGAAAGAAUGUUUGGAGAAAAAAAAAACACUAUCUGUAUAUUUUUAUAUAUGAUGCAAUAUAGAGAAUGUACUAUACAGUGGUGCUGAAAAUGACCCCCUACUGUUUUCAGUUAAUUUAAAUGGUUUUUAAAAAGAAAGGGUAUUUAUGCUUACAGCUGAUAAUGUGAUAUAAGUCGCACACUUUUUAACAGUUGCAGUCAAAAAUAUUAAAUAAAACUUAUACAUAUAAACAUGUUUGUCUUCCUCAUAAAACAUUGGACAUGCAACACGUCUUUGACUUUGAUCUAGCUCAGGGUUAUAAAUGUCAGACAGACGCUGGUAUUUCCCUGCACUUCAUUACUUUAUUGUGAAACUGUCUCAUAGAUUGUAUAGUUAAAGGCUGAACUGUGACCACCACCCUUCUAUAUAAACAAAACGUCAGUUUCUCAGGAAUCGAUUUAUGGCUAUUCGUCAACAGUUCGUUAGGUCACAACACAGUUACACACACCUUUUACUUUAUCAGCCAGUCUCCCAAGAUAUAGCCCAGUUCACUACCCAUUGGUUAUUCAUGUAGUCAGAAAUAUGACUGGGUUGGUGCGCACUUCCCAUGGUCACGUCUGAACAACGUGUAUGGUCUCUUAUGAACUCAUACUUUAACUUAUAUCAUCAAUCAAGUAAGACCGUAAAAUCGAGUUAAAAAUGGCUUCUACUCUAGCUGGACACCACUCCGGUUCAAUUUCGUUCAUUGUGCUUUUGGGAAGAAGAAAGUCCGGAAAGAGUUCAACGGGAAACACCAUCCUUGGAAGAGAGGAAUUUGAAACAGGGAAAAAAACAACAAUGGCGGAAAAAGUACUCGGUUUAGUAGACGAGCACCGCUUGGGUAUUGUAGACACUCCUGGUUGGAGUCUCUUGGGUCUUGCCAAUUCUGAGCAAGUGAAACAGGAGAUUUUGCGUAGUGCUCGCCUCACUUCUUAUGGCUUGCGGACCUACCUGUUGAUCAUUCCUGUUGAUUCAUUUAAGAAGAAAGACAGGCGUGCUGUGGAAGAACACGUCGAUCUCUUAGGUGACAGUACGUGGCCCCAUACCAUUGUGGUCUUUACGUGGGGUGAUCUGUUACGGGGCAAAAGCAUUGAGAAACACAUCGAACAAAUGGGGGAGCCUCUACAGUGGGUCCUACGCAAAUGCAACAACAGAUAUCAUGUCAUCAGUAAUAAAACCGCAUGUGACUGCUCUCAAGUCAGCCACCUGCUGCAGCUCA